UCCAAGCUGUGUAAUAACUGCUCACAGAAUAAGAGACCUGACAGGUGAUGGUCAGCCUCUCACCUGGCUGCAGACUCACAGAGGCUGGCUGUGUCAGCUGUUCAC